GCAACAUUGAAACACCGGUUCCCGUACGUUCACCGAAGUUAAGCAACGUCGAGCUUGAUCAGUAUCUAGAUGGAUGACCAUUUGGGAAUACCAGAUGCUGUAAG